rnacentral:rRNA from 1 species
AUGCUUAGUACGGCGAGUGAAGCGGCAAAAGCUCAAAUUUGAAAUCUGGUACCUUCGGUGCCCGAGUUGUAAUUUGGAGAGGGCAACUUUGGGGCCGUUCCUUGUCUAUGUUCCUUGGAACAGGACGUCAUAGAGGGUGAGAAUCCCGUGUGGCGAGGAGUGCGGUUCUUUGUAAAGUGCCUUCGAAGAGUCGAGUUGUUUGGGAAUGCAGCUCUAAGUGGGUGGUAAAUUCCAUCUAAAGCUAAAUAUUGGCGAGAGACCGAUAGCGAACAAGUACAGUGAUGGAAAGAUGAAAAGAACUUUGAAAAGAGAGUGAAAAAGUACGUGAAAUUGUUGAAAGGGAAGGGCAUUUGAUCAGACAUGGUGUUUUGUGCCCUCUGCUCCUUGUGGGUAGGGGAAUCUCGCAUUUCACUGGGCCAGCAUCAGUUUUGGUGGCAGGAUAAAUCCAUAGGAAUGUAGCUUGCCUCGGUAAGUAUUAUAGCCUGUGGGAAUACUGCCAGCUGGGACUGAGGACUGCGACGUAAGUCAAGGAUGCUGGCAUAAUGGUUAUAUGCCGCCCGUCUUGAA